GCAUAUCAAUAAGCGGAGGAAAAGAAACCAACAGGGAUUGCCUCAGUAACGGCGAGUGAAGCGGCAACAGCUCAAAUUUGAAAUCUGGCCCCAGGCCCGAGUUGUAAUUUGCAGAGGAUGCUUUUGGCAAGGUGCCUUCCGAGUUCCCUGGAACGGGACGCCAUAGAGGGUGAGAGCCCCGUCUGGUUGGAUACCGAGCCUCUGUAAAGCUCCUUCGACGAGUCGAGUAGUUUGGGAAUGCUGCUCAAAAUGGGAGGUAUAUGUCUUCUAAAGCUAAAUACCGGCCAGAGACCGAUAGCGCACAAGUAGAGUGAUCGAAAGAUGAAAAGCACUUUGAAAAGAGAGUUAAAUAGCACGUGAAAUUGUUGAAAGGGAAGCGUUCAUGACCAGACUUGGACCGGUUGAUCAUCCAGUGUUCUCACUGGUGCACUCUGCCGGUCCAGGCCAGCAUCAGUUCGCCCCGGGGGAUAAAGGCUUUGGGAACGUAGCUCCUCGGAGUGUUAUAGCCCAUUGUGCAAUACCCUGGAGCGGACUGAGGUUCGCGCUCUGCAAGGAUGCUGGCGUAAUGGUCAUCAACGACCCGUCUUGAAACACGGACCAAGGAGUCGUCUUCGUAUGCGAGUGUUCGGGUGUAAAACCCCUACGCGUAAUGAAAGUGAACGCAGGUGAGAGCUUCGGCGCAUCAUCGACCGAUCCUGAUGUUCUCGGAUGGAUUUGAGUAAGAGCAUACGGGGCCGGACCCGAAAGAAGGUGAACUAUGCUUGUAUAGGGUGAAGCCAGAGGAAACUCUGGUGGAGGCUCGCAGCGGUUCUGACGUGCAAAUCGAUCGUCAAAUAUGAGCAUGGGGGCGAAAGACUAAUCGAACCUUCUAGUAGCUGGUUUCCGCC
rnacentral:rRNA from 1 species